UACGGGGGGAGCAAGCGUUGUUCGGAUUUACUGGGCGUAAAGGGCGCGUAGGCGGUCAGCACAAGUCAGUUGUGAAAUCUCCGGGCUUAACCCGGAAAGGUCAACUGAUACUGUGCGACUAGAGUGCGGAAGGGGCAACUGGAAUUCUCGGUGUAGCGGUGAAAUGCGUAGAUAUCUGGAGGAACACCGGUGGCGAAGGCGGGAUCCUGGACCAACACUGACGCUGAGGAGCGAAAGCCAGGGGAGCGAACGGG
rnacentral:rRNA from 1 species